rnacentral:tRNA from 1 species
GCCGAAGUGGUGGAAUUGGCAGACACGCAGGAUUUAGGUUCCUGUGUCUUAGGACGUGCGGGUUCAAGUCCCGCCUUCGGCACCC